rnacentral:tRNA from 1 species
GCCUGGGUGGCUCAGUCGUUGAGCAUCUGCCUUCAGCUCAGGGCGUGGUCCCGGUGUUGUGGGAUCGUGGUCCCGGUGUUGUGGGAUCGAGCCCCACAUCAGGCU